rnacentral:other from 1 species
CCCCCUCUGCGGUGUUCGAUACCGGAAAGUAUUUUGUAGACCCGACUUCCAAUCCGCAGGGAACCGCAACGGAGUGGCUGAUUGUAUCUCCUGGCUCUGUGAAAACAGAGGACUGGAUCACAUGACCCGUUCCUGUGGUGCCCACCUAAAACUGCGGGUCUGGACAAAUCCAGUUCGCCGGCACAUGUGGAGGGUUU